rnacentral:rRNA from 1 species
AUUGAACGCUGGCGGCAGGCUUAACACAUGCAAGUCGAGCGAGCGGCGGACGGGUGAGUAGUGUCUGGGAAACUGCCUGAUGGAGGGGGCUAACUACUGGAAACGGUAGCUAAUAACGCAUAUACUAAGAAGUGCCCAGAUGGGAGUAGCAAGUAGGUGGGGUAAUGGCUCACCUAGGCGACGAUCCCUAGCUGGUCUGGGAGGAUGACCAGCCACGCUGGAACUGGGACACGGUCCAGACUCCUACGGGAGGCAGCAGUGGGGAAUAUUGCACAAUGGGCGCAAGCCUGAUGCAGCCAUGCCGCAUGUUUGAAGAAGGCCUUCGGGUUGUAAAGCACUUUCAGCGAGGAGGCGUUACUCGCAGAAGAAGCACCGGCUAACUCCGUGCCAGCAGCCGCGGUAAUAC